UUACUCAGCUUCAAAUAAAACCACUCUUCCUAAACUCGGACCAUUUCACGGGCUAACAACUUUAACAAGAACAAAUUUGCUGAACAUUUCAAACUGUCUGAUAAAUGCCUAAACUACCCUGAGCUGUGCUGAUAUACUACAAGAAUAGGGUUUUGUGGAUUAUCGCCUCAUGCUUCUUCCUAGGAUGGCGAAUCCGUACUCUAGUCCUGUCAGUGCUCUUCAGGCUGGUUGUGGAAAGUACUAUCUGCUAAUUCAACUGCAACCCAAUUUUCUUCUCCGGUUGAUUGGGAUUCAAACAAUUCGUCCUCGUCACGGGUGAUUUGAUUUUUGGGGAAGCAAUGAUCGCAACGGAUCGAGAGGCUGUGGUUAGUGAGAUGAAGGAUAUAGGCGAGCAAGUAGGCAUAACUAACUAUUCACAAAGCUAUAAAUUUCUUUUAUUGAAUAAGCUAUCGGUUUUCAAUGAAGAACAUUUUCUUCUUAUAUUUUGAUGGUUGCGUAACAAUUUAUGUGAAAUAUGGUAUACUUCUUUUGUUCUCA